ACGCUCGACACCUACGGGAGCAGCAGUAGGGAAUCUUCCACAAUGGACGCAAGUCUGAUGGAGCAACGCCGCGUGAGUGAAGAAGGUCUUCGGAUCGUAAAACUCUGUUGUUAGAGAAGAACACGAGUGAGAGUAACUGUUCAUUCGAUGACGGUAUCUAACCAGCAAGUCACGGCUAACUACGUGCCAGCAGCCGCGGUAAUCUGAGCGGGCUGCAAGGC
rnacentral:rRNA from 1 species